rnacentral:rRNA from 1 species
ACUGGCAGGCUAGAGUCUUGUAGAGGGGGGUAGAAUUCCAGGUGUAGCGGUGAAAUGCGUAGAGAUCUGGAGGAAUACCGGUGGCGAAGGCGGCCCCCUGGACAAAGACUGACGCUCAGGUGCGAAAGCGUGGGGAGCAAACAGGAUUAGAUACCCUGGUAGUCCACGCCGUAAACGAUGUCGAUUUGGAGGUUGUGCCCUUGAGGCGUGGCUUCCGGAGCUAACGCGUUAAAUCGACCGCCUGGGGAGUACGGCCGCAAGGUUAAAACUCAAAUGAAUUGACGGGGGCCCGCACAAGCGGUGGAGCAUGUGGUUUAAUUCGAUGCAACGCGAAGAACCUUACCUGGUCUUGACAUCCACAGAACUUUCCAGAGAUGGAUUGGUGCCUUCGGGAACUGUGAGACAGGUGCUGCAUGGCUGUCGUCAGCUCGUGUUGUGAAAUGUUGGGUUAAGUCCCGCAACGAGCGCAACCCUUAUCCUUUGUUGCCAGCGGUUAGGCCGGGAACUCAAAGGAGACUGCCAGUGAUAAACUGG